AUUGAACGCUGGCGGCAUGCUUUACGCAUGCAAGUCGAACGGUAACAGGUCUUCGGAUGCUGACGAGUGGCGAACGGGUGAGUAAUGCAUCGGAACGUGCCCAGUCGUGGGGGAUAACGCAGCGAAAGCUGCGCUAAUACCGCAUACGAUCUAUGGAUGAAAGCGGGGGACCGUAAGGCCUCGCGCGAUUGGAGCGGCCGAUGUCAGAUUAGGUAGUUGGUGGGGUAAAGGCCCACCAAGCCAACGAUCUGUAGCUGGUCUGAGAGGACGACCAGCCACACUGGGACUGAGACACGGCCCAGACUCCUACGGGAGGCAGCAGUGGGGAAUUUUGGACAAUGGGCGCAAGCCUGAUCCAGCAAUGCCGCGUGCAGGAAGAAGGCCUUCGGGUUGUAAACUGCUUUUGUACGGAACGAAACGGCUCUCUCUAAUACAGAGGGCUAAUGACGGUACCGUAAGAAUAAGCACCGGCUAACUACGUGCCAGCCGCCGCGGUAAGAC
rnacentral:rRNA from 1 species